rnacentral:rRNA from 1 species
AAGCGCUGGCAACCAGACUUGCGCGCUGUUGAUCCCCUAGUGUUCUCACUGGUGUACUCAGCAGUCUGCAGGCCAGCAUCGGUUUGGGUGGUUGGAUAAAGGCCGUAGGAACGUGGCUCUUCGGAGUGUUAUAGCCUACGGUGCAAUGCAGCCUACCUGGACCGAGGACCGCGCUCCGGCUAGGAUGCUGGCGUAAUGGUUGUCAGCGA